CUGAGAAUAUAAUUGGAGGUGACUUGCAUUGCUAAAAGGAAUUCCUAUAUGGGUGUUCUUUAAAAAGUCAAAUAUUUCUCCCUAUGUAGUAGGCACUGAGGAUAAAGGCAAAAAUGAAUCAACUCCUACUAUUUACAGUUUCUUCAGGCUAACUUCCUUUGCAUCCGACUAGUUUUCAUCAGUAUCAACUAAUACAGACCCUCCCACUUGUUGGUCAAACUGCUUGUAGCUAUGAAGAUCUCCUUGGGUUAUCUUGUCCUUUUCUUCUUUCUCUGGGUAGUGUGAAGACUGGAUUUGGCUCUCCCCUGAUUGUUACAAUGAAGAGAUUGAAUGGCCUCAAUUGUACCAUCAGGAAAACAAUAAGCAUGAAAUUUCCUUUCCAAAUACAUCCUAAUUAAACAAAGAGACAAAGAAACAAAAGAACCCAUGGAAAUUGGUUGUCACUGGUGUGUAUAUUGGAAGUGAUCCCAAAGGUGGUGUAAUCAGCAGUGAGUUCUUUUGAGCCCAAACCCAAUGGAGGAAAGGUAAUUCUCAAGACUAAACAAUUCAUUCUCUCAACUGUGUGUCAUUUACAAAUAGGAAAUAAAUGUCUAAUGGUGUAAGUAAACA
rnacentral:lncRNA from 1 species